rnacentral:lncRNA from 1 species
CUGGUCUCGAACUCCCGACCUCUGGUGAUCUGCCCGCCUCGGCCUCCCAAAGUGCUGGGAUUAAAGGCGUGAGCCACCGUGCCCAGCCUAAUUCUUCAAUUCUUAAUAAACAAUUUAUACUGAAGAGAAACCCUACAAACGUGAAGAAUGUUGCAAAGCUUUUAACGUCCUCAAACCUUACUGAACAUAAGAUAAUUCAUAAUGGAAACUAGCCCUACAAAUAUGAAGAAUGUGGCAAACACUGUAACCAUUUCUCACAUCUUACCACACAUUAAGAUAAUUCAUACUGAAGAGAAACCCGACAAAUGUGAAGAAUGUAACAAAGUCUUUAACUGGUCUUCAACUCAUACUAAAUAUAAGAGAAUUCAUACAGAAGAUAAAUUUUAUAAAUAUGAAGAAUGUGACAAAAGCUUUAAAAACAUUUCAACCCUUAUUACACAUAAGAUAAUUUAUGUUGUAGAGAAAUUCUACAAAUGUGAAGAAUGUGGCAAAGUUUUUUUUUUUUUUUUGAAAUGGAGUCUCACUCUGUCGCCCAAAUUGGAGUGCAAUGGUGCAAUCUCAGUUCAUUGCAACCUCCGCCUCCUGGGUUCAAGCGAUUCUCUGGCCUCAACCUCCCAAGCAGCUGGGAUUGCAGGCGCCUGCCACCACGCCCAGCUAAUUUUUGUAUUUUUAGUAGAGACGGGGUUUCACCAUUUUGACCAGGCUGGUUUUGAACUCCUGACCUCAAGUGAUCCACCCGCCUUGGCCUCCCAAAGUGCCCCAAAGUGCUGGGAUUACAAGCAUGAGCCAUUGAGCCCGGUCGAAUGUGGCAAAGUUUUUAAUAAGUUAUCAAAUCAUACUGGAGAGAAGCUCUACAAACCUAAAAGACAUGACAGUGCUCUUGAGAACACCUUAAACUUUUCUAAACAUAAAAGAAAUCAUAGUGUCAAGAAGCCCUAGAUGUGAGUCAUGUCACAAAGCCUUUAAAUGGUUGUCACACUUGAGUAUAAGCUAAUUUAUCCUAGAGAAAACUAUGAAGAAUGUGGCAAAAUAUUUAACCAAUACUCACACCUUAUCGCAUAGGAAAGCAUUUAUACUUGAAAAAAAAUGUACACCUAUGAAGAAUGUGGAAAAGCCAUUAAUAUCUGCUCACAUCUUAACAUCACAGAGUUUAUACUUAAAACAAAUAUUAAAAAUGCAAUUACUGUGAGAAUAUCUUUUAGAAAAUAUAAACCUUAGAAUGGUGAAGAGUAUUUCUUUUGAUGACAAACAUUACAAAUAUAAAGACGGUUGUAGUACUAUAUUUGUAUCACAGAUCUUAUUGUGCAUAUUUUGUGCUAGAGAAAAACCCUAAAGUUGCUCAAACUUUGUUCAAUAUCAGGGAAUGUAUAAUAGAGAAAAAAACCUGCAAAUGUAAUAAAUUUGGAAAAAAGUUUAUAAACUACAGCUUAGAAAACAGAGUAAGUUUUUUUUGUAGAUGCAGUAAAUAUGAAAAAUAUUCAAUCCAAAAUUAACUCUGUAAAUGUCAGAGAAUUCACAGUAGAAAUGAUAAGGCACUGGCACUUCAGACUACACUAAAUCAGAGUGUUGAGUAAAAAAAAUAAUUUCAAUCUAAAAUUUAGAUAAGUUAUUUGCAUAUAACUUAAAAAAGAGGAGGUGAUUUUUUGGAGAAUUAUAAUUACAUUUGAAGUAUACUUUUUGUAUACUUCAAAUAUCAAAAAAAUUAACAUCACAAUAUUGAAAAAAAUUACAGACUCUGAAAAGCAAAUAAGGAUGUAAUUCAACUCUCAAGUUACUUCAUGCUCUUCAUUCCUACUUUAUUUACAUGUGAAAGCAUGCGAUCAAUUGUUGCUGCAUCAGAGAUAUGAAAGAUUCUUUUUUAUUAGAUGGGCAUUAUUUAUGACCUUUUUCAUAAAAGAGAAAGGAUAUUAAAAUAUAAAAUGCAUGAUAAAAAUCUAAAUGGAGAGGCUUUUUGUGGUUAACUUAAAAUAUUGAGUGAUGUAUGAGGUAGGUGUUCUGAGGAAUAUAUUUUUGUGCAUUAUAGUGAGAAAAACAUUUUAAAAUUUUAGUUAAAAUUAAAAUUAAAUUAGUGAUGUAUUAUAUUAGUUGUGCUUUUAUGUAAUGUAGUACAUUCAUAAAUUUUUAGAUUAUAUGUAAACUUAAUUUUUUAAACAUUUUUUGACAUGUUAAGUCUGUUGUACAUUCAAUGAAGUGUUAUUAUGCCACUCGCUUUAACCUAUCCCACCUUACUCAAGGGUGUAGGUAAGAGAUGGCAACAGUUUACUAUUUGGUAAGAGUGGAAUAACAUCUCUAGUAAUCUCUUUUUUUCAGUGGCUUUAACCUGCAAAUAAAUUAAAGAAUAUUGUUCUCGUAGGUUACAUUUUUAUACUUUUAAUCUUAUUUAAACUUCUUUUUUUUUUUGCCUUGACAAAUUUAAACUUAUUUUUCUUAACUUUUAUGGGUACAUAGUGUGUAGAUAUAUUUCUGCCAUAUAUAGCAUAUUUUGAUACCAGCAUAAAAUAUGUAAUAAUCACGUCAGGGUAAAUGAGGGAUUCUUCACCUUCAACAUUUAUUCCUUGAAUUACAAGCAAUCCAAAUCUACACUUUUAGUCACUUUGAAAUAUAAAACUAAAUUGUUAUCUUUAUUAUAGCGUCAUUUUUGUGGUCAUAAUAAAAAUCAUAUAGGAAUGUAAAUAAAAUCUAUACAUAUCUGG